ACGCUCGACACCUACGUGAGGCAGCAGUGGGGAAUAUUGCACAAUGGGGGAAACCCUGAUGCAGCGACGCCGCGUGAAGGAAGAAGUAUUUCGGUAUGUAAACUUCUAUCAGCAGGGAAGAAGAAAGUGACGGUACCUGACUAAGAAGCCCCGGCUAACUACGUGCCGCAGCCGCGGUAAUCUGAGCGGGCUGGCAAGGC
rnacentral:rRNA from 1 species